CUUAACCCAAUUUCACUCCCAUAUCCCCUUCAUUCAUUGUUCUCUCUUAGUGAAACUUCCACCAAUUUUCAAUUUCACACCAGCCAAAAUACUCAAAAUCUGAAAUUCAUUGUGCCUCACACUAUUGUUGCCGCUGCGCCGUCAACAUCCUGUUCAAUGCUUCAGUCGCCGCUGCACCUUCUGCCCAUAACCUAGGCAUCGAUUUUGCGCGUCGUGCGGCGCUGUCACUAUUGUUCUCGCUCCAAUCGAAAGCCCCAUAGAAGAAGUCUAGGUUUUAAACUGAAGUACCCGAACAAGGGAAUCAAAAUUCUAAACAAGAUUCAUCUGGUUGCUCUGCAAUUUCAGGUAUCCAUAUAAAUUAUUUCUUAUUUUUCAAUAUUAAGUAAUUUUUUAUGUCUUUGGUAUUUUUCAAUCUUAAGUAGUUUGUAGUUUGUAGUUUGCUGGCCAAACAAAUGGAAGGACUUUACGACAACAUAAAUCUUUGUCAUGGAUUGGGGUGGUGGGGUGGAGUAGGGAUGCAGGCACUUCCUUUCGCUUGAAAUUCCUCUUUUGUUUUUGGGAGAGAAGACGGUUGAAUUUCUUUUCACUAUAGCUAGAUUGGUUGCCAAACUUGUUUUUGUCUGAUUAUGAUAUUUAAUUAAUUUUUAAUCUCGAUUUGGGAUUUUUAAUCAACGAUGUACAAUUUUGAACUGAUUAUUUGGUUGUAGAUUUAACUUGUUCAUUUCCCCCCUCAAUUCUAGGAUUCACUGAUUUAGUCUUCUUUUGUAAUUUUGCUAUGUUUAUGCCUGUGUUGGUGAUGCGUCUUCGACUUUUGGGCCAUUUGGCCCUAUUCUUUCUCUUUAUUUGUGUCGGUACAUGUCUGUUCGGGGGAAAAACAAAGUUGUGAAGGAAGGAAGGUCAGUGGAGCGGAAACGGAGGAAAUGCGGUCAGAAUGGGCAUUACCAAGCCUAGAUUGUUAUGUCAUGUUUGCCAGCAUGGAGCUUCGGCCAACAAGUACCUCCCCAGUUUAAUUUGGGGCAUGGGAACCUGGAGCAACCCACCUGGUAUGAACCACACCGAAGAGAGCAAUCCAUCUGACCGUUACCACAAGAAGCAGACAGCUAGAGCCACGAAAGGAAAGUCAAUCUCAGAGAUUUCGAAGAAGCACGUGGAAGAUGAAAGAAGAAACUGGAAGGAUCGGAAGAAUGGGAAAGGUUGACUAAGCUUGCAGCUGGAAGCCAUCUUCAAUCGGAUCAAUCAAAGAUUGAACUAAUUAAGGAAAGAAGAUCCCGGCGAAGAUUUGGAGCUGGCACAGCUAGGGUUGGACCUCAACCAUUCGGCAGUAUAAAAGAUUAAUGGUGUGCAUCGUGCACAGACUCUUGGCACUUGAAACUUUUGUUUUUACUUAGCUAUUACUUUAAUUUUGCCGUGUGUGGCAUCCAAACAAUUUACAUUUUAGUACUAUUCUCUCUAUUUCCGUUGUGUGUUGCAUUUGAACAAGAUCGAAGGCUUGAAGCCUAGGUAUUAUUUAUCUAUUUAAGUAUUUCCUUUUGUUCCGCAAUGUGUUUAAUUCAUUUUGCAUUUGCGUUUUUCAAUAUGUGUGAGUAGUUCCCUUGGUGAGGUUUUAGGGGUGGAAAUAAUUGUUGUUAACAUGUGAAACAUUCGUGAGGCAUUUGUUCUUUCGGUUGAAUCUCGUGGUUCCGGAAGGAUCUGUUCGAAACCAUGGGCAGUAUGGGCCUAACGGGUGAUCUCCGUUCGGUAAAACGCUGUCCGUGUCAAGCAAAGGCCAGGGUGUACCAAGAUACAUUGAUCGGUACACCCAAGACCGAGUAGCUGAGCAGCGUCAACAAAAGGCGUUGUAGAUCCAGAAGGUGGGGAAAGGAUUGAUGGGAUACACUGUCCUUCCUCAGUCUUGGGCUUCUCUAGAGACUAUCCAUCAACUGUGACGAGGCAUAAAGCCAUGGUUAUCAAACGAGGAAAGCAAUCUCGGCGCCGUAGCAUGUCUAUGACUGGUCGGCUGACAAAGCCGGAAAUGGUUGUGUCCAGGAGGCAUGUGUCACUCAAAGCGCGGAGUUGGGGACCUCGGGAGGGAAGGUUGAUGAGGGCCAUACUUGGUGAGUAACGGGUAUGACUACCAUCUAAGGAGAAGUGAAGCACUGCCUUGUGACCAGGGAUUGUGUGACCUUCGGACCAAGUGACCACAAUGGGAUCAACCAUCCUAAAUGUGAAUUAUAACCCCUUGAAACGCCCCAAUGUCUUUGGGCCACGCCCUGGGUUUAUAUGGAUCAUGGACGGAUCAUCGGUAUGCCUAUGACCGAAACGAAUGUUAACAACAGUUAUGACCUAACCAAAUAAUCUCACCCCCUUGUUAUUAUUGAUCUUGUUUAUUUCUUGUGCAGAGUAUACAGAUUGAGAAUUGUGACACCUCAAUUUGUCGUUGGAGAACAAAGUGGUUCCUCACUCCCUGUGGGAUUCGACCCUACACUUACCGCUAAGAUUAAGUUCUUGUUGUGAGACGUAGGAGCGUGUACUGUCUGUACUGGGCAUACACAUGUAUUUUGUCCGCACCGCACGACGGGUGUGUGUCAGUUGGAUUGAUGAAUUUUCUCUUUUCACCAAAGAAUCAUGCAAUCAGGACAAAUGAAUACAUUAUGGCGAGAGUUGUGGAGACUGUUAUAUACAUAUUUGUUUCAACAAGUAAUGUCUGACUAUAACUUAUUAUUCUAUUUUCUCUAUUCAGACAGUCUUGGAUGAAGAUGAAAAUUGAUGCAGGAACAAGAUCAAAGGAUCUUCAUGGAGGUGUUAGUUUUGCAU
rnacentral:lncRNA from 1 species